UAGGAUUUUAAGUUAAUUAAACUUUUAACCUUCAAAGUUAUAAAUAUUAAUAUUUAAAUUAUUAAAUCUUAA
rnacentral:tRNA from 1 species